GGUCAGAGCGGUGAAUGCAACUCCAGAAAAUCCAAGGCAAUCCACGUGGGACCAAGUGGCCAGCGUUAGAAAUUUUCAGCAGUCUUCUCAUGGUUAACAUCCAACUGCUCUUGUGGUUCGGUCAGAGCAGUGAAUGCAACUCCAGAAAAUCCAAGGCAAUCCACGUGUGACCAAGUGGACAGCGUUAGAAAUCUCCAGCAGUCUUCUCAUGGUUAACAUCCAACUGCUCUUGUGGUUCGG